GGGCUCCCGCCGUGGCGGGAAAACGGCGGCCGCGGCGUCUCCUCCCGGACGUUGAGGAGCCCGAGGAGACCGUGAGGCUCUGGCCUGCCGCUCGCGCCGCCAUGGACGCUGCCGAGGUCGAGUUCCUCGCCGAGAAGGAGGUGGUUACCAUUAUCCCCAACUUCAGUCUGGACAAGAUCUACCUCAUCGGGGGGGACCUGGGGCCUUUUAACCCUGGUUUACCAGUGGAAGUGCCCCUGUGGCUGGCAAUUAACCUGAAACAAAGACAGAAAUGUCGCCUGCUCCCUCCAGAGUGGAUGGACGUAGAAAAAUUGGAGAAGAUGAGGGAUCAUGAACGAAAGGAAGAAACUUUUACCCCAAUGCCCAGCCCUUACUACAUGGAACUUACCAAGCUCCUAUUAAAUCAGUAAACAGAAGUCCUGUUCAGCAGCCUGCCAUGGGAUAGUUACCGUGAGCAAAAGAAACACCAUGUGGAUCACUGCUGAAUGUCCUUGGCACCAAGCUUAACUGCUACACAUCUUUACAUCCUAAAGUUGAAAACAAAGCAAAACAGACUUGCUGAGUCUGGAAUAGCCGGAGUAUUUUGCCUGAAAAGAGCCACUCUAUCCAGCAUUGCCUCAGCUUAUCAAGUGUUCCCUGACUGACUUACCCCUUGCUCCUUUAGUGCUUCAGACAACAUCCCGAAGGCAGAUGAAAUCCGGACCCUGGUCAAGGAUAUGUGGGACACUCGUAUAGCCAAACUCCGAGUGUCUGCUGACAGCUUUGUGAGACAGCAGGAGGCACAUGCCAAGCUGGAUAACUUGACCUUGAUGGAGAUCAACACCAGCGGGACUUUCCUCACACAAGCGCUCAACCACAUGUACAAACUCCGCACAAACCUCCAGCCUUCGGAGAGUACUCAGUCUCAGGACUUCUAGAGAAAGGCCUGGUGCGGGCGGCUUGCCGGGGGAUGUGAGUGCUCAGGACGUGAUGAGGUACUCGUGGUUCUGGAGCUCUAGAAACACUUUGAAUGCAUGAAAAACAUGUGAUGGUGCAAGGAAUGGAUUCAGGACAUUGUUGGAGAAGCAAGUUUGUGAUUAGUCCUUAAAACUUAGCUCCCUGGGACAUUGUUCAAUUCCACAUCUGUUUCUAGAAACCAGCCUUUUUUUUUCCCCCUUUUGAGAAAGAAAAAAGCUUUAGGCAAAUAAGUUAUUCUCCCUAGCAGAGCCACAUGGGUCUCCUGCGUGGAAUCUGUCACACUCGGGCAAGUGUUCAGUGACUGGUAGGUAUAGAUACAGCAGGAGUGGCCAUGUGGCCCACAGCUUUUUUCUGCCUUCUUAAUCCUGGUUUCUUGGGCUGAAUUUGGACUCUCCCGGAGGUGGCUCACAGGGAAGGAUGGCAGAUGGUGCAGCUAACAAUGCUGACCAGUGCUUUUCCUCUAAGCCCUGAUGCACAAUAAACAUGGACCCAACCCAA